rnacentral:misc_RNA from 1 species
AUACACUUGUUAAUUAUGUUUUCAUUUGGAAUUCUUUCAGUUGUUGAACCUGUUAGAGAAAAAUUCAACAAAAAUAUUCGUUUGUGGAGUGAAUAUGAAUCUGUUCUUCACAAUUUACAGCAAGUUUUAGAGAUAGAAUUUCCCUCUCCAUCAUCAUCUGUUAAAGAAGAGUUUUGCUUAGAAUGUGGGAUAUGUUACUCAUAUCAGCUGGGUGAUGCCAUCCCAGAUAUGACGUGUGAUGAUCCAAAUUGCAAUCAGCCAUUUCAUCAUGCUUGUUUGUAUGAAUACAUUAGAAUGCUUCCUGAUGUAAGGAGUAGUUUCAAUAAAUUAUUUGGAGAAUGUCCUUACUGCAGUACACCACUGUGGUGCACUAUACCAUGAUAAUUUCUUCCUUUAAAAUGAGGAUGAAUGUAUUUUUCUAGAUCUGUUUCAGUGCCUAUGUAAUGUGCAUCCACAAAGUAAUUUGUGUUUGCUGAUAAAUAUGGAAAAGGUUUUAGGGUGCAAAGUUACUGUAUAAAAAAAAAAAAAAAAAAAAAGAAGAAGUUCCCAAAAUAAAAAAGUUGCAAAAAUGA